rnacentral:rRNA from 1 species
AUUGAACGCUGGCGGCAGGCUUAACACAUGCAAGUCGAGCGGUAACAGGUCCUUCGGGAUGCUGACGAGCGGCGGACGGGUGAGUAAUACAUAGGAAACUGCCCAGUAGUGGGGGAUAGCCCGGGAAACCCGGAUUAAUACCGCGUAUGCCCUAAGGGGGAAAGCAGGGGAUCUUCGGACCUUGCGCUAUUGGAUGUGCCUAUGUCGGAUUAGCUAGUUGGUGGGGUAAAGGCCUACCAAGGCGACGAUCCGUAGCUGGUCUGAGAGGAUGAUCAGCCACAUCGGGACUGAGACACGGCCCGA